UGGGGGAUAUUGCACAAUGGGCGAAAGCCUGAUGCAGCGACGCCGCGUGGGGGAUGAAGGCCUUCGGGUUGUAAACUUCUUUUGCUCUGAACAAGGCGCACCAUGGGGUGUGUUGAGUGUAGGGGUUGAUUAGCGCCGGCUAACUACGUGCCAGCAGCCGCGGUAAUACGUAGGGCGCGAGCGUUGUCCGGAAUUAUUGGGCGUAAAGGGCUUGUAGGUGGCUGGUUGCGUCUGUCGUGAAAGCUCAUGGCUUAACUGUGGGUUUGCGGUGGGUACGGGCUGGCUUGAGUGCAGUAGGGGAGGCUGGAAUUCCUGGUGUAGCGGUGGAAUGCGCAGAUAUCAGGAGGAGUACCGGUGGCGAAGACGGGUCUCUGGGCUGUUACUGACACUGAGGAGCGAAAGCAUGGGGAGCGAACAGG
rnacentral:rRNA from 1 species